GAGUCGGCCCCUAAGGCGAGGCAGAAAUGCGUAGUCGAUGGGAAACGGGUUAAUAUUCCCGUACUUCUAAUUACUGCGAUGGAGGGACGGAGAAGGCUAGGCCAGCACGGCGUUGGUUGUCCGUGUUUAAGGUGGUAGGCUGGAAUCUUAGGUAAAUCCGGGGUUUCAAGGCCGAGAGCUGAUGACGAGUUGUCCUUUGGACGAUGAAGUGGUUGAUGCCAUGCUUCCAGGAAAAGCUUCUAAGCUUCAGGUAAUUAGGAACCGUACCCCAAACCGACACAGGUGGUUAGGUAGAGAAUACCAAGGCGCUUGAGAGAACUCGGGUGAAGGAACUAGGCAAAAUGGCACCGUAACUUCGGGAGAAGGUGCGCCGGUGAGUGUGAAGGGUUUACCCCGUAAGCACAUGCCGGUCGAAGAUACCAGGCCGCUGCGACUGUUUAUUAAAAACACAGCACUCUGCAAACACGAAAGUGGACGUAUAGGGUGUGACGCCUGCCCGGUGCCGGAAGGUUAAUUGAUGGGGUUAGCUAACGCGAAGCUCUUGAUCGAAGCCCCGGUAAACGGCGGCCGUAACUAUAACGGUCCUAAGGUAGCGAAAUUCCUUGUCGGGUAAGUUCCGACCUGCACGAAUGGCGUAACGAUGGCGGCGCUGUCUCCACCCGAGACUCAGUGAAAUUGAAAUCGCUGUGAAGAUGCAGUGUAUCCGCGGCUAGACGGAAAGACCCCGUGAACCUUUACUAUAGCUUUGCACUGGACUUUGAGCUUGCUUGUGUAGGAUAGGUGGGAGGCUUUGAAGUGGGGACGCCAGUUCUCAUGGAGCCAUCCUUGAAAUACCACCCUGGCAACCUUGAGGUUCUAACUCUGGUCCGUUAUCCGGAUCGAGGACAGUGUAUGGUGGGUAGUUUGACUGGGGCGGUCUCCUCCUAAAGAGUAACGGAGGAGUACGAAGGUGCGCUCAGACCGGUCGGAAAUCGGUCGUAGAGUAUAAAGGCAAAAGCGCGCUUGACUGCGAGACAGACACGUCGAGCAGGUACGAAAGUAGGUCUUAGUGAUCCGGUGGUUCUGUAUGGAAGGGCCAUCGCUCAACGGAUAAAAGGUACUCCGGGGAUAACAGGCUGAUACCGCCCAAGAGUUCAUAUCGACGGCGGUGUUUGGC
rnacentral:rRNA from 1 species